GUCACGGCAGUCACAUAGUGACUGUAAGGUUGCUAGUUAUUAUUAUUAUUAUUAACCGUUUUGAAAAUUAAUAAUAAUAAUAAUAAAAUGAAGAAAAAAUGGACAAAAAAAGAGGUCACGAUAACGUCGGACUCCAGAUAUCAGGAAUAACGAGCUUAAGCGUUCCAGCAUGAUAUUGUUCUUGAGUAAAUAUUAACAGCUGUGCAGAAAAAAAUGUAACGGAAAUAAUUUGAGGAAAAAAUUUUAUAAAAAUUGAACAAUUUAAGUUACGUAGAAUGACAUAUACAUACGUCGCCAGUACUGCGAUAACGAGUAAUCGAGACGGUUUUCAAUGGUAGAAGACACGCGAUAUUGUGCCCGCAUCGUUAUACACCGUCAAUACUGACCUCGGAAUAAAAUAAAUAUAAAUAAAAUAGAGCGUUUUGCUUUACUGAGAAAAAAUGUCGUCAGCAUUCUAGAAGAUAAGCCCAGUGCGUCACCUUUUGAAUACUUAAGCUUAUAUAUUUGAAAUUACACUGUAAAGUUUUUUAAUUACUUUACAGUUUCUGUUUUCUAAAUUAAUAACUUUUUUAA